GCCAGAUUUGAGCUACUCCAGAGGCUGAGACAGGAGGAUCACUUGAGUCCAGGAGUUCUGGGCUGUAGUGUGCUAUGCCGAUCAGGUGUCCGCAUCAAUACGGUGACCUCCGGGGAGCGGGGGACUACCAGGUUGCCUAAGAAGGGGUGAACCGGCCUAGGUACGAAACAGAGCAGGUCAAAAACUCCCGUGCUGAUCAGUAGUGUGAUCGCGCCUGUGAAUAGCCGCCUGCACUCCAGCCUGGGCAACAUAGCGAGACCCCGACUCU
rnacentral:SRP_RNA from 1 species